rnacentral:rRNA from 1 species
AUGAACGCUGGCGGCGUGCCUAAUACCUGCAAGUCGAGCGAACAGAUAAGGAGCUUGCUCCUUUGACGUUAGCGGCGGACGGGUGAGUAACACGUGGGUAACCUACCUAUAAGACUGGGAUAACUUCGGGAAACCGGAGCUAAUACCGGAUAACAUUUGGAACCGCAUGGUUCUAAAGUGAAAGAUGGUUUUGCUAUCACUUAUAGAUGGACCCGCGCCGUAUUAGCUAGUUGGUAAGGUAACGGCUUACCAAGGCAACGAUACGUAGCCGACCUGAGAGGGUGAUCGGCCACACUGGAACUGAGACACGGUCCAGACUCCUACGGGAGGCAGCAGUAGGGAAUCUUCCGCAAUGGGCGAAAGCCUGACGGAGCAACGCCGCGUGAGUGAUGAAGGGUUUCGGCUCGUAAAACUCUGUUAUUAGGGAAGAACAAACGUGUAAGUAACUGUGCACGUCUUGACGGUACCUAAUCAGAAAGCCACGGCUAACUACGUG